rnacentral:rRNA from 1 species
UAGUCCACGCUGUAAACGAUGUCUACUUGGAGGUUGUUGUCUUGAAUGAUGGCUUUCGGAGCUAACGCGUUAAGUAGACCGCCUGGGGAGUACGGCCGCAAGGUUAAAACUCAAAUGAAUUGACGGGGGCCCGCACAAGCGGUGGAGCAUGUGGUUUAAUUCGAUGCAACGCGAAGAACCUUACCUACUCUUGACAUCUAGAGAAGCUUGCAGAGAUGCGAGUGUGCCUUCGGGAACUCUAAGACAGGUGCUGCAUGGCUGUCGUCAGCUCGUGUUGUGAAAUGUUGGGUUAAGUCCCGCAACGAGCGCAACCCUUAUCCUUGUUUGCCAGCACGUAAUGGUGGGAACUCCAGGGAGACUGCCGGUGAUAAACCGGAGGAAGGUGGGGACGACGUCAAGUCAUCAUGGCCCUUACGAGUAGGGCUACACACGUGCUACAAUGAGCGAGACAAUGAGAUGCAAAUCUGCGAAGACUAGCUAAUCUAUAAACUCGUUCU